UACAGAGGUCCCAAGCGUUGUUCGGAUUCAUUGGGCGUAAAGGGUGCGUAGGCGGCCAACUAAGUCAGACGUGAAAUCCCCAGGCUUAACCUGGGAACUGCGUCGGAUACUGGAUGGCUUGAAUCCGGGAGAGGGAUGCGGAAUUCCAGGUGUAGCGGUGAAAUGCGUAGAUAUCUGGAGGAACACCGGUGGCGAAGGCGGCAUCCUGGACCGGCAUUGACGCUGAGGAGCGAAAGCCAGGGGAGCAAACGGG
rnacentral:rRNA from 1 species